CCCUAGGCUAGGGGUCUAAUCAGAGCUUCAGCCUCAGGCCUACACCACAGUUACAGUAACACUGGAUCCAAGCCAUAUCUGCAACCUAUGUUGCGGCUUGUGGCAAUGCCGGGUCCUUAACCUACUGAGCGAGGCCAGGGAUCAAACCCGCGUCCUGAUGGACCCAAUGUCAGGUUCUUAACCUGCUGAGCCACAGGUGUUUUUAGAAAUCUGAAUUUUACCAAAAUUUUCAGGAGUCUUAAGCUUACUACUGGGCAUCAGUAUUUAUCACCCUGCUAUUUCCAUCAAUGUGGAAAGAGCAGUAGGUUAGCACCCACAGAGCUGCAACAUUUACCUACAAAAAACUGAGAAAUGUGGGUCUGUAGAGAAGCCAGGAAACAAAAUUUUCUCACUGAAUCAUUUAAUUAAAAGUGUGGGAAUUUAGAAACUUAAAGGCUUCUUGAGGCGAUUUAUAAACAUAGCACUUCUCAAAAAGCUAUCCUUUCACACGGGUGCCCAUUUAACACCCCCUAUUUAAAUCUGAAUAAGUUAAAAUUAAUUGGCCUGCAGAACAUUAAUAACAACAUAAUAUUAAUUAAACUUGUACUUAGUAGGCCCUUUUCCAUCAGGAAGACAAUGGAAAAAUAAAAUAUGCCAAAGAGCUUCCAGCUUAGUUAGGCAUUUCUCCUCCAUGUGCAGAGAAGGGCAUUUGGGAGUUUUAAGAAAAAUAAGUGAUAUGGCAUAUAUCCCGACAAAACUUUCAUUCAAAAAGAUACAUGCACCUUCUUCACUGCAGCACUAUUCACAAUAGCCAAGACAUGGAAACAACACAAAUGUCCAUUGACAGAUGAAUGGAUUGAGAAGAUGAACUACAUAUACACAAUGGAAUAUUAUUCAGCCAUAAAAAAUGACAAAUAAUUUCAUUUGCAGCAACAUGGAUGCAAAUAGAGAUUCUCAUACUAAGUGAAAUAAGCCAGAAAGAGAAAGACAAAUACCAUAUAAUAUUGCUUACCUGUGGGAUAUAAAAUAUGGCACAGAUGAGCCUAUCUACGGAACAGAAAUAGACUCACAGACAUGGAGAACAGACUUGUGGUUGCCAAGGGGGAGGGAGUGGGAUGGACUGGAGUUUUGGGGUUAGUAGAUGCAAACUAUUACAUUUAGAAUGGAUAAGAAAUGAGGUGCUAUUGUAUAGCACAGGGAACUAUAUCCAAUCACUUGUGAUAGAACAUGAUAGAAGACAAUAUGAGAAAUAGAAGAUACUAUGAGAAAAAGAAAAAACAAUUUCUGUACAGUAGAAAUGACAGAAACACUGUAAAUCAAUUAAAGUAAAAAUUUUUUUUAAAAAGUGACACAGUUCUUGGGUUCCUGCCUUCCAUAUGCUUCCAUGGGAUGACUUCUGUCAUUUCUGUAGGCACCCAAUCACGUCUCUCACCAUUUGUUCUCUUUGGAACCCACCUUGAUUCCUGUCUUAUGAGAGUAUCCCUUUUGGUCACAAGACAAAACACUCUCUUUCCUCAACCUUGAAUUCACCUCAAUGUUCCUGCCCCAAGUUUCCUCCUCAGUGUACAGUAUCCUGCCCGGAAAUUCCACUACUCAGCAACUAAACAGGUGACCAAACUUGUGAAUUCAGGGCCUGCAUUUAGUGUCCUAGUUCUACCUGGCCAGGAGCAAUGACCAUGAACAAGAAAUUUCAUAAUGGACUUUCAAGGUCAUGAGAUCCAUGGCUUGAGAAAGCAUUUUCAGUAGUAGCUAGAAUAGGAACUUCGAAAUCUGCAGGAAGUCUCACUCUGUGAUUAUUGUGUGGCAGGAGCUAAGUAUUGAUUUGUGUUAUUUGCUCACCUGAAGCUCCCUUGCUAACCUCGGGGAAUGGGUGACUCAAGUAACCUUUGGUCACUGAAAACAGAGCACAUGAUACACUUUUUUUCUCCUGACAAUAUAAUAUCAUGUACCUAGUAAAUUGCCCUGUGCCUUUCCUGACAAUACUAACCAGGGUUUUGCCCUGUGAGACUUAACUUCUGUAAGAGACAGCUAGGCACAUAUCAUGAUGUCAUCCUUAUUAUCUUACAUGAACAAUUCCUAACAGCAUCAAAUGUUGUGAAAUAUAAGCAUUUCUAGAAAAAGAAUUGUGCACUGGAUGUGUUUUUUUUCUACCUGGAGUGUCCUCAAAAAUAUUUCACAAUCGUUACUAGGGGAACAGAAACAGUAAGUUUAUGGGCCGAACAUCUCUGUAAUUUUAGGUCUUGGAUGAACUGGUAUCACUUGGCAGUUCUAGUCUCAUUAUGGAGAAGUCCCAUGAUCGAGCAUUCAAGAACUGCUAACAGGAGUUCCUGUCAUGGCUCAGCAGAAACAAAUCUGACUAGUAUCCAUGAGGAUGCCGGUUGGAUCUCUAUCUUCGAUCAGUGGGUUAAGGAUCUGACCUUGCAGUGAGCUGUGUUAUAGGUUGCAGAUGUUGCUCAGAUCUGGCAAUACUGUGGCUGUGGCAUAUGCUGGCAGCUGCAGUUCCGAUUGGACCCCUAGCCUGGGAACCUCCACAUGCCAUGGGUUCAGCCCUAAGAAGACAACAAAAACAAAACAAAACAAAAAC
rnacentral:lncRNA from 1 species